rnacentral:rRNA from 1 species
GACGAACGCUGGCGGCGUGCCUAAUACAUGCAAGUCGAACGCAGUGGGGACGGGUGAGUAACACGUCGGUAAACUCCCAUCAGAGGGGAUACCACUUGGAAACAGGUGCUAAACCGAUACUGAUGUAUGGACCCGCGGUGCAUUAGCUAGUUGGUGAGGUAACGUAUCACCAAGGCCACGAUGCAUAGCCGACCUGAGAGGUGGAGCGGCAACACGGGGACUGAGACACGGCCCAGACUCCUACGGGAGGCAGAAGUAGGGAAGCUUGGGAAAUGGACGAAAGUCUGACCGAGCAACGCCGCGUGAGUGAAUAAGGUUUUCGGAUCGUAAAACUCUGUUGUUAGAGAAGCGGUAUCUAACCAGAAAGCCACGGCUAACUACGUGCCAGCAGCCGCGGUAAUUC